rnacentral:miRNA from 1 species
UAGCAUAACAUUGUAAGAGAUU